rnacentral:rRNA from 1 species
CCUACGGGUGACAGCAGUGAGGAAUAUUGGUCAAUGGGCGCGAGCCUGAACCAGCCAAGUCGCGUGAGGGAAGACGGUCCUAUGGAUUGUAAACCUCUUUUGUCGGGGAGCAAAAUCCGCCACGCGUGGCGUUCCGCGAGUACCCGACGAACAAGCAUCGGCUAACUCCGUGCCAGCAGCCGCGGUAAUACUGAGGAUGCGAGAGUUAUCCGGCUUUAUUGGGUUUAAAGGGUGCGCAGGAGGAAGAUCAAGUCAGCGUUAAAAUUGAGAGGCUCAACCUCUUCGAGCCGUUGAAACUGGUUGUCUUGAGUGAGUGAGAAGUAGGCGGAAUGCGUGGUGUAGCGGUGAAAUGCAUAGAUAUCACGCAGAACUCCGAUUGCGAAGGCAGCAUACCGGCGCUCAACUGACGCUCAUGCACGAAAGUGUGGGUAUCGAACAGGAUUAGAUACCCCGGUAGUC